rnacentral:rRNA from 1 species
GCCCUUCGGGGUGUAAAGCUCUUUCGGCAGGGAAGAUUUAUGACGGUACCUGCAGAAGCAGCUGCUGGUAAUUACGUGCCAGGCUAGCCGCGGUAAUACGUAGGCAGCAAGCGUUGUUCGGGAGUUACUGGGCGUAAAGGGUGUGUAGGCGGUUGCCUAAGUUUGGGUGUGAAAUCUCCCGGCUUAACCGGGAGGGUGCGCCGAAAACUGGGUGACUAGAGUAUGGGAUGGGUAGUGGAAUUCCUGGUGUAGCGGGUGAAAAUG